rnacentral:rRNA from 1 species
UACGUAGGGAGCAAGCGUUGUCCGGAAUCAUUGGGCGUAAAGCGCGCGUAGGUGGCCCCAUAAGUCCGCUGUGAAAGUCAAAGGCUCAACCUUUGAAAGCCGGCGGAUACUGUGGGACUAGAGUACGGAAGAGGCGAGUGGAAUUCCUGGUGUAGCGGUGGAAUGCGCAGAUAUCAGGAGGAACACCAAUAGCGAAGGCAGCUCGCUGGGACGUGACUGACGCUGAGACGCGAAAGCGUGGGGAGCAAACAGG